rnacentral:lncRNA from 1 species
AACAUUUGCUGAGUUGAGCUAGCUCCCACCUGGCCUGCUGCCAGGCUGAGAGUUGGAGAAAUUAAACAGCUUGCACCAGGUGGGAAACUAUGCUCACAGCCCCCAACACAUAAUGCGACCUUUCUUUCCAUUCCUUCAAGAUUAACAGGAUAGCUGGAAGUCCCGCUGGCCAUCGGACACUCGUUCAUUAGGUGCUAACUAUGUGUCAGGCACUGGGUACUGGGAUGCGAUGGUGAACAAGACAGCCACAGACCAGCUCUCCUUGGAAACUGAGCUCAGAGGUGGAAACCAACCUAAAUAAACGAACUUGCCAGCCAGUGGGUAGAUGAGGCUGAACCAAUACAUACUGGGUCUGCAUGUGGAAGAAUGAGGCUUGCAGCCAACGGCCGUCCACAUCUCUGAUGAGGAUCAGCACCUCAACUGUCAACUGAUGAAUCUGAGCUCAUUUGCUGAAGGGAUAAACCAACCAGUGAAUCUCAACUCCAUCCUUCUACCACUCGGGCCUUAACUCUAGUGCCAGACAAGAGAAAGGGAAAAAUUCUUGGAACCUCUAGAGCUAGCCACACUUGAAAAAGAGAAGAGCUAGAUGUCUUUUGAACCAUCCUGUCUGCUUGACCAGUAGGACUGCUCUGUAUCAGUGCCUAAGUCCCUCCCUAUGGGGUCUCCUUCUUGUCUUAGAGUCAGUUGAGGGGAGCCCCCAAUGCCUUUCUCCCUGUUGCUCAUGAAGGACACUACUGGUUGACCACAGCUCUUUCCCAUGCUGCUCUGGACAGCAGUCACAUCUUUGCCAUUAUGGAACUAGCUAGCAAUCAUGCCUCAUGCUGUCACCUGUAAGAAGGGAGAGUAUUUACUCCCAUAGCCCAUGAGCAGUGUCUACAGCUGUGGACUGUCCAGAGACUAGAUAACCAGUGAUUCAGAAGCCUGGCUGCAGAUCUGGUCGCUUGAAUAAAAAUGCCCCACGUGCCUAGAGGGGGUGGCACUAUUAGGAGGUGUGACCUUAUUGGGAUAGGUGUGGCCUUGCUGGAGGAACUUUGUCCUUGUGGGGACAAGCUUUGAUAUCUCAGAAGCUCAAGUCAGUUCACUUCCACUGCCUGUGGAUCAAGAUGUAGAACUCUCAGCUCCAUCUUCAGCACCAUGGCCGGACUGCUUCAUACUGCCGCGUUUCCCACCGUGAUGAUAAUAGACUAAACCUUUGAAACUGUAAGCCGGCCCCAAUUAAAUGUUUUCCUUUAUCAGAGUUGUCACGGUCACAGUCUCUCUUCAUAGCAAUAAAAAUCCUAACUAUGACACUUGGGAUGCUCUGCGAAUUGUAUCUCUGGGCCCCAGCAUUUAGCAUAUUCCUGUUCUUUCUCUAUGGUGCCAU